GUAUGCUUACUUCGGGUAUUGGUUUAGCCGCACACGCGCCUGAUACCCCACAGGCGCCCGCAUCAAGGGUCGCCACCAAACGCUUCGCAAAACCCCGGUCGGCUACCCGACCGGGGU
rnacentral:sRNA from 1 species